rnacentral:tRNA from 2 species
GUCCCGGUGGUCUAAUGGAUACGAUAAUAGACUCCGACUCUGUUGAUAUGGGUUCGAUUCCCGUCCGGGAUACCA